GAUCAUGGCUCAGACGAACGCUGGCGGUGUGCUUCACACAUGCAAGUCGAACGAGGUAGCAAUACCUAGUGGCGGACGGGUGAGUAACGCGUGGGAAUCUGCCUUUAGAUGGGGGAUAAUGGGUCGAAAGACUCGCUAAUACCGCAUAUGACGAAAGUUGAAAGGAGUAAUCCGUCUAAAGAUGAGCCCGCGUCCGAUUAGCUAGUUGGUAGAGUAAAAAGCCUACCAAGGCGACGAUCGGUAGCUGGUCUGAGAGGAUGAUCAGCCACAAUGGGACUGAGACACGGCCCAUACUCCUACGGGAGGCAGCAGUGGGGAAUUUUACGCAAUGGGCGAAAGCCUGACGUAGCGACACCGCGUGAGCGAAGAAGCCCCUUGGGGUGUAAAGCUCUGUCAGCUGGAACGAAAAAAUGACGGUACCAGCAGAGGAAGCAUCGGCUAACUACGUG
rnacentral:rRNA from 1 species